UGGGGUGUGGCUUACUGGUAGAGCACUUACCUUGCAUAUGUGAGACUGGGUUCGAUCCUCAGCACCACAU
rnacentral:tRNA from 1 species